CCGUCUUGAAACACGGACCAAGGAGUCUAGCAUGCGCGCGAGUCAUUGGGAGCUAGUAGACCCAGAGGCGCAAUGAAAGUGAACAGCGCCGACCCAGCGUCGGCCGGAGGGAAGAUGGCGGCCGGCGAGCCCGUCCGCCCGCAUUCCCGAGGCGUUUCGAGAAAUGCCAUCGUUGCGACUAUCGAGACGCACUGAGAGCGCGCACGCUGGGACCCGAAAGAUGGUGAACUAUGCCUGGUCAGGUCGAAGUCAG
rnacentral:rRNA from 1 species